CAGCGCUGGUUUGUCCCACUGUACAACUUACUUGAAAAAACACAGCCAUGGCUCCUAUUAUCCGGUUUUCUAAAAUUGCUGCUCCAAAACUGUCAAAGUCAUCA